UACGGGGGGGGCAAGCGUUGUUCGGAAUUACUGGGCGUAAAGGGCUCGUAGGCGGCCCAUUAAGUCAGACGUGAAAUCCCUCGGCUUAACCGGGGAACUGCAUCUGAUACUGGAUGGCUUGAGUUCGGGAGAGGGAUGCGGAAUUCCAGGUGUAGCGGUGAAAUGCGUAGAUAUCUGGAGGAACACCGGUGGCGAAGGCGGCAUCCUGGACCGACACUGACGCUGAGGAGCGAAAGCCAGGGGAGCAAACGGG
rnacentral:rRNA from 1 species